rnacentral:lncRNA from 1 species
GCUCGGAUAAUCCAUGUGAUGGAUUUGAAAAAGAUUGAAAUACAAUGUGGAUGACUUAUCUAGGAUUGACAGUUAAAUCCUAGGUCAUCCUCGAGUAUUAGGAUCAAAGAGAUGAAUUAUACGAUAACCAUAUAACAAUAGAUUCUUGAAUGUUGCUUCACCUUCAUUCGAUCUAUCCGAAUGUUGGAUCACCAUUACUAAAUGGUUACAUCGAUUGAUUCAAGAAGUUGUUUCUAUGCCACCGACUUAGGUUCGAAUCUAUUGGGUAACAUUCAAAAAAAAAUUUUGACUGAUUAUGUGGCUAAUCAAUGAUUGAGAAUCAUUCAAGGACUCAAU